AAUUCCAGAGCAUGCGCUUUUUACAUAACUCUAAAUAGCUGACUUCCUGUUGGGCGGAGCCGAAUGACAUGCAGUACGAAAGUUGUUCAGCACGAUGAGAUCUAUAUGUGUACUGAGUUUCAUAUUAAUACGAGCAAGUAUGUGUGAGCUAUACAUCAACAUUUAUGACUGUGUUCCAGGGGGCGACAUAGAGCCCCUGUGCCACGCCCGGGUCCCAGCCUCUGCAGGCUCCUAAAGGCCACAGAUUCCAAAGUGUGCGCAAAUUUUCAAGAGUUUUUGAGUAUGUUAAGGACCCCAAAAGCCCCCACAACUUUGACGGAAAAUAUGAAUACUAAACCCUAAAUAUCCAACUUCCUGUUGGGCGGAGCCUAUGACAUGCAGUACAAAAGUUGUUUGGUUUGAUGAGAUCUACAUGUGUACCGAGUUUCGUGUGUCUACGUGCAAGUAUGUAUGAUAUAUGGCCCUCAGUAUUCCAGGGGGCGCUGUAGAGCCCCUGUGCCACGCCCGUGUAUCAGUCUCUGCCCGGCCCUAAUGGCCGCAGGUUCCAAUGUGUGUGCCAAUUUUCAAGACUUUUUAAGCAUGUUAAGGGCCCCAAAAGCCCCCGAAACCUUGAAGAAAAAUAAUAAUAAAUAUAGCUGCAAGCAGCGAUGGCGGGCUCAAGCCACCAAUGCCAUCGCCACCCCGGUGGCAUCAGGUAAACUGUGCCCAGCGGGCACAUGCAUUCACAAUAUCCCUCUGGCAGUGAGGUUUUAAAGGAUAUGGCAGUUAAAGGGUUAAUCCGAAUCAUCUAGACUUUAAAAUCACAUUCACAGAACAAUAUAUAUAUAUAACUUUAGUAACACUUUACAAUAAGAUUCCAUUCAUAAACAUUAUGUUAACAUGAACAAUAUUUAUAUAGCAUUCAUUCACGUCAGUUAAUAUUCCAAACUUAAACAUUAAAACAUUGUUUUAUUGUGAUUUUUUUCCAAGCACAUUUUACCAAUUCCUAACCAUAUCAAUCUUAAUAACUACCAUUAUUUUUUUAUUUAAUCAUUUAUGAGUGCUAUACAAUAGUCCAGGAAAGCUGGAAGAGAAAAACAGGUCAAGAAGAACUGACAAAAAGAAUUGCAAAAUAAUUAGGAAAUAAUGUGAAGAUUAAUUUUUAGUCAAUUCUGCAAGACAGACUUUCAGGAAAGGAGGUGGAAUAAAAAUGAGCUCCUAAAUCUUAAUCCCAGAUUCUGGAAGAUAUAUUCCUCAAACCAUCGAACAAGAGGAGGUGGUGCUGGUCCUUCACGAGUCACUCUAAUCUGUUCAUAAAGCCUAUAUAUAAAGUCUUAAUAUAUAGUAUUUCACAAUACUUCAUGGUAUUCUAAUUAAAUCAUUUUUUGGAAUCUUAGAUCUCUCAGAGCCUGACACCGAGUAAUUCUGGAGACUCCAGGAAAGUGGCAGUUCUGUAAAAUGUUGGCGCUGGAGACUAAAUGCUCCCUGAUAGUUUCACACCUAAUUCACUUAACACACACACACACACACACACACACACACACACACACAUUACCCACAGUGACAGAGGGACAGAGUGACAUCAGAUGUAUGAUAGUUUUUUAAUUUUCUAUCAUCCAUAUAGUGUUGUAUAGUCAUGAAACUAUUGUCAUGAGACCAGUCAUUCUGAGGAAAUAUGCCUCAGAAUGACUUGUCUUUUAUGUGUACAUUUUUUUUUUUAAGUGUUUAGAAGCUGCACUUUAAAAAAAUAAAAAUACAUUUACUGGUUCCUUUUUUACUAUUAUUUCAAAAAAUCACCACAACAAAACCCUUCAAGCUAUCCAAAAUUCAUUCACACCUGUUCUGUAAGAUUAAUUCUUUAAACAGUGGUAAAAGAGGAUGUGGUGCUGAACCUUCAAGAGUCACUCAAAACGUAUCUGUCCAUAAAGCCUAUAAAGAAUUAUUCUUAAUAUACAGUUCACAAUACUUCAGCUUGUUAUUCUAAUUAAGUGAGGGUCAUUUUAUCAGUAAAAUACAUAAAAUACAUAUUAUUUUAUUUGAAAGAUUUCUAUAAAUUAUUUAAAUCAUACUCGUUUCUCCAAUAAUUAUUUAAAAGUAAUCCUAUAGCUCCCUCAGGUGGCCAUUAUAGGUACUAAGAAUUGCAAGCUUGAUUUAUAAGUUAUGAUAGUUUAAAUUUUAUGCUGGCUCUUGAAAAUGAUAAAGCUAUGAAACUUACUGUGCUUCCUUCAAAUGAGGACUUCUACUUAUAUAAAAAAUUAUGAAGAGUUAGAAUGAAAAAUUGUAAAGAUAUAGUAAAAUAACUAUUGUAUUUUUUUAUGUUACUUUAAUAAAUCUCUGUGGCAACACCAUUUAAGCUAUCCUAAACCCAUUCACAAUUUAACAUCUCAGU